rnacentral:rRNA from 1 species
CUAGCUGGUCUGAGAGGAUGACCAGCCACACUGGAACUGAGACACGGUCCAGACUCCUACGGGAGGCAGCAGUGGGGAAUAUUGCACAAUGGGCGCAAGCCUGAUGCAGCCAUGCCGCGUGUAUGAAGAAGGCCUUCGGGUUGUAAAGUACUUUCAGCGGGGAGGAAGGGAGUAAAGUUAAUACCUUUGCUCAUUGACGUUACCCGCAGAAGAAGCACCGGCUAACUCCGUGCCAGCAGCCGCGGUAAUACGGAGGGUGCAAGCGUUAAUCGGAAUUACUGGGCGUAAAGCGCACGCAGGCGGUUUGUUAAGUCAGAUGUGAAAUCCCCGGGCUCAACCUGGGAACUGCAUCUGAUACUGGCAAGCUUGAGUCUCGUAGAGGGGGGUAGAAUUCCAGGUGUAGCGGUGAAAUGCGUAGAGAUCUGGAGGAAUACCGGUGGCGAAGGCGGCC